UUCUGGAGGCAGCGGUUGAUCGAUCUGUUCCCUGCAAAGCUAUAAACAAAAUAUAGCAAGCAGGAAUCGAUCGAUAAACCUCUGCAUCCGGC
rfam:Capsicum annuum cultivar Zunla-1 chromosome 3, whole genome shotgun sequence